UAUAAAUAUCUUUAGCCACUCCUCUUGACUGGAUUUGUUCUUUAUUCAUUCUACGAUGAAGAUCCUGAAUGAAGAACUACUACUAACUGUUUGGAGACCACCAUGAUAUUUCACCAUCAGAUUCUAACAUGUGUGACUCGUGAACUCAAGACAGCACAAGAAACAGAUGAAAUGGAGCUGCACUUCACAUGGGUUGUGACCUAGAGUCUUAAAACAGUACAACUCUGUACAGAGGUCAGAGGUCGACUCUGCAACAAGCUGGAGUAAAAUAUGACAAACCAUAUGGAACAAGUCAGCUGACUGCAACAUUUACACUUUGUGUGUUACAUACCUGUCUGCGGUUGUUGAUCUCCACUUGCUUUUUGGGCCAUGAUGGAGUAGACCAGCUGAACAAGAUCAUCUGAUCAUCACCCACAUUAGUGCAUGACACUUUAUUCUUUAUUUUGUAACAAGCUACUGAACAAUUGUUUCACUCAAUUCAAUAAUCCAUUUAUGUAUUUAUUUUGAAGGACAAGUCAAAUAGUCAUUAUCACAAAAUAAACCCUCUUUUAAAUAACAGUUUUGAUCUAUUUUUUGUUGUUGUUGUUGUUUUUAUUAUCUAUAAGGUAAGCUAUGCUAUAAUGCAGUGUUUAAUUAUAGCAUAUUUCAUGAAACUAACAAAC